rnacentral:misc_RNA from 1 species
CCGAGUACCGGAGCCCAAAAGCUCCUACUCCCACCCUAUGUUGACUUGAAUGUUGCUUUGGCGGACCGGUCAAGACCACCGGCCCUAGGCUGGACAGCGUCCGCCAGAGGAUUUCUAAACACUUUUAAUGGUGAAUUCCGAGUCUUUGAAAAUUGAAUCA